GUGCGGCCGGGGACGCGUGGACGGCUCGAUGCGACGCAUCUUGGUGGGUAGCGACGGCCAUGAUGGCGCGCCCCGUCCCGUCUGUCUCGUUUGCCUUGGCGCUCCAGCCUCCAGGUAUGCCGCGCCCUCGGCGUGGCGGUGGGGCCCGCUGGCCUGUUCGCGUCGGCCUUUUGGGUACAAGGAGCCGAGCACCAAUGCACACGGCACGAUUCACACACGCACACAAAAAAAAAAAAACAAUGCACACGGCACAAGUUGCGCAGAUAUCUAAGUGCCAACACGGCAAAGUUUAGUUAGUGCUGUUUGCAUCCCAAUUCAAGUUUUUCUUCGCA
rnacentral:lncRNA from 1 species